rnacentral:rRNA from 1 species
UGAGGAAUCUUGCGCAAUGGGCGAAAGCCUGACGCAGCGACGCCGCGUGGAGGAUGAAGGUCUUCGGAUUGUAAACUUCUGUUAAGCGGGACGAAAUGGUCAGCUCUAAUACAGCUGGCAGAUGACAGUACCGCUAGAGAAAGCACCGGCUAAACUCGUGCCAGCAGCCGCGGUAAUACGAGUGGUGCAAGCGUUAUUCGGAUUAAUUGGGCGUAAAGGGUGUGUAGACGGCAUAUUAAGUCAUUUGUUUAAUUCUCCGGCCUAACCGGAGGUCAGCGAGUGAAACUGGUGUGCUUGAGGGUGGAAGAGAGAAGUGGAAUUCUCGGAGUAGCGGUAAAAUGCGUAGAUCUCGAGAGGAACACCAAUGGCGAAGGCAGCUUCUUAGUCCAUUCCUGACGUUGAAACACGAAAGCGUGGGGAGCAAACAGG